rnacentral:misc_RNA from 1 species
AAAGUCGUAACAAGGUUUCCGUAGGUGAACCUGCGGAAGGAUCAUUACACUUAGUAGAUCUCUACUGCUCAGGGGAGAGGGGAAAGUUUUCAGUGUGCUUCGGCGGCUGUUUACGAGUACGCUUUCUAUCUGAACCCUUGUCUUUUUGCGUACUCAUGUUUCCUCGGUGGGCCUGCCUGCCGGUUGGACAACUUAACAACCUUUUUAAUUUUCAAUCAGCGUCUGAAUAAUUUUUAAUAAUUACAACUUUCAACAACGGAUCUCUUGGUUCUG